GGGGAAAUGGCUCAGUUGGUAUAGUGUUUGCCAUGCAAGCAUGAGGACCUGGGUUUGAAUCCCAGGUACCCA
rnacentral:tRNA from 1 species